GCCAGAUGUGGUGGUGCACACCUGUAAUCCUAGCAUCUUGGGAGGCUGAGACAGGAGGAUCACGAGUUCAAAGCCCGCCUCAGCAAUGGUGAGGAGCUAAGCAAUUCAGUGAGACCCUGUCUCUA
rnacentral:sRNA from 1 species